AUUGAACGCUGGCGGCAUGCCUUACACAUGCAAGUCGAACGGCAGCACGGGAGCAAUCCUGGUGGCGAGUGGCGAACGGGUGAGUAAUAUAUCGGAACGUGCCCAGUCGUGGGGGAUAACGUAGCGAAAGCUACGCUAAUACCGCAUACGAUCUAUGGAUGAAAGCGGGGGAUCGCAAGACCUCGCGCGAUUGGAGCGGCCGAUAUCAGAUUAGGUAGUUGGUGAGGUAAAGGCUCACCAAGGCGACGAUCAGUAGCUGGUUUGAGAGAACGACCAGCCACACUGGAACUGAGACACGGUCCAGACUCCUACGGGAGGCAGCAGUGGGGAAUUUUGGACAAUGGGGGCAACCCUGAUCCAGCGAUGCCGCGUGAGUGAAGAAGGCCUCGGUUGUAAG
rnacentral:rRNA from 1 species